UAUCAAGUCUUUAAGAGCAAACGGUGAAUGCCUUGGCAUCUGGAGCCGAAGAAGGACGUAGCAAUCUGCGAUAAGCCUCGGGGAACUGAUAAGCAAGUUUUGAUCCGAGGGUGUCCGAAUGGGGAAACCCCGCUGGGCGGCGUGCCGACCUAGUGACUCCCGCCUGAAUAUAUAGGGCGGGUAGAGGGAACGUGGGGAAGUGAAACAUCUCAGUACCCACAGGAAGAGAAAGCAACCGCGAUUCCGUUAGUAGUGGCGAGCGAAACCGGAACAGGCUAAACCUAGCGUGUGUGAUAGCCGGCAGGCGUUGCACGUUGGGGGUUGUGGGACUUUUCAGUCAUCUCUGCCGAGAUGGCGGCGUUACAAGAAGGUAUAGACGAACGGUCUUGAAAGGCCGGUCAUAGAGGGUGACAACCCCGUAGUCGAAAUGCUUCUCUUGGCGCGAAGAGUAUCCCAAGUAGCACGGGGCCCGUGAAAUCCCGUGUGAAUCUGUCAGGACCACCUGAUAAGCCUAAAUACUCCCAGAUGACCGAUAGCGGACAAGUACCGUGAGGGAAAGGUGAAAAGUACCCCGGGAGGGGAGUGAAAUAGUACCUGAAACCGUUUGCUUACAAACCGUUGGAGCCUCCUUAGUAGGGGUGACAGCGUGCCUUUUGAAGAAUGAGCCUGCGAGUUAGCGAUAUGUGGCGAGGUUAACCCGUGUGGGGUAGCCGUAGCGAAAGCGAGUCUGAAUAGGGCGAUUCAGUCGCAUGUCCUAGACCCGAAGCGAAGUGAUCUAUCCAUGGCCAGGUUGAAGCGACGGUAAGACGUCGUGGAGGACCGAACCCACUUAGGUUGAAAACUGAGGGGAUGAGCUGUGGAUAGGGGUGAAAGGCCAAUCAAACUUCGUGAUAGCUGGUUCUCUCCGAAAUGCAUUUAGGUGCAGCGUUGCGUGUUUCUUGCCGGAGGUAGAGCUACUGGAUGGCCGAUGGGCCCUACAAGGUUACUGACGUCAGCCAAACUCCGAAUGCCGGUAAGUGAGAGCGCAGCAGUGAGACUGUGGGGGAUAAGCUUCAUAGUCGAGAGGGAAACAACCCAGACCACCAACUAAGGUCCCAAAGCGCGUGCUAAGUGGGAAAGGAUGUGGAGUUGCCUUGACAACCAGGAGGUUGGCUUAGAAGCAGCCACCCUUGAAAGAGUGCGUAAUAGCUCACUGGUCAAGUGAUUCCGCGCCGACAAUGUAACGGGGCUCAAGCACGCCACCGAAGUUGUGGCAUUGACAUUAUUGGUAGGCCUUCGUGGUCCAGCCGUGUUGAUGGGUAGGAGAGCGUCGUGUGGCCAGCGAAGCGGCGGUGUGAACCAGCCGUGGAGGCUACACGAGUGAGAAUGCAGGCAUGAGUAGCGAAUGACGUGUGAGAAACACGUCCUCCGAAAGACCAAGGGUUCCAGGGUCAAGCUAAUCUUCCCUGGGUAAGUCGGGACCUAAGGCGAGGCCGACAGGCGUAGUCGAUGGACAACGGGUUGAUAUUCCCGUACCGGCGAAGAACCGCCCAAGCUAAUCCAGUAGUGCUAAGUGUCUGAAUCCCAGUGACUGAUCCCUUCGGGGUGACGCUCUGGGCCUAGCGCACGACCCCAUUCUGGUGCGGUUAGCGUAUUAACAGGUGUGACGCAGGAAGGUAGCCCAGCCCGGCGAUGGUUGUCCGGGUGCAAGUGCGUAGGCCGAGUCGUAGGCAAAUCCGCGAUUCACAGAGGCUGAGACACGAUGCGAAUGAAAAGUGGGUGAUCCUAUGCUGCCAAGAAAAGCAUCGACGCGAGGUUCAAGCCGCCCGUACCCCAAACCGACUCAGGUGGUCAGGUAGAGAAUACCAAGGAGAUCGAGAGAAUCGUGGUUAAGGAACUCGGCAAAAUGCCCCCGUAACUUCGGGAGAAGGGGGGCCAUCCACUUAUACGGACUUGCUCCGAAAAGGGUGUGGUGGCCGCAGAGACUAGUGGGUAGCGACUGUUUACUAAAAACACAGGUCCGUGCCAAGUCGCAAGACGAUGUAUACGGACUGACGCCUGCCCGGUGCUGGAAGGUUAAGAGGACCGGUUAGCCGCAAGGCGAAGCUGAGAAUUUAAGCCCCAGUAAACGGCGGUGGUAACUAUAACCAUCCUAAGGUAGCGAAAUUCCUUGUCGGGUAAGUUCCGACCUGCACGAAUGGCGUAACGACUUCCCAACUGUCUCAACCGCGAACUCGGCGAAAUUGCAUUACGAGUAAAGAUGCUCGUUACGCGCAGCAGGACGGAAAGACCCCGUGACCUUUACUACAGCUUGGUAUUGGUGUUCGGUGUGGCUUGUGUAGGAUAGGUGGGAGACUGUGAAGCAUGGACGCCAGUUCGUGUGGAGUCAUUGUUGAAAUACCACUCUGGUCACUCUGGAUAUCUAACUUCGAACCGUAAUCCGGUUCAGGGACAGUGCCUGGUGGGUAGUUUAACUGGGGCGGUUGCCUCCCAAAAAGUAACGGAGGCGCCCAAAGGUUCCCUCAACCUGGUUGGUAAUCAGGUGUCGAGUGUAAGUGCACAAGGGAGCUUGACUGUGAGACUGACAGGUCGAGCAGGGACGAAAGUCGGGACUAGUGAUCCGGCAGUGGCUUGUGGAAGCGCUGUCGCUCAACGGAUAAAAGGUACCUCGGGGAUAACAGGCUGAUCUUGCCCAAGAGUCCAUAUCGACGGCAUGGUUUGGCACCUCGAUGUCGGCUCGUCGCAUCCUGGGGCUGGAGUAGGUCCCAAGGGUUGGGCUGUUCGCCCAUUAAAGCGGUACGCGAGCUGGGUUUAGAACGUCGUGAGACAGUUCGGUCCCUAUCCGCUGCGCGCGUAGGAAAUUUGAGAGGAUCUGACCCUAGUACGAGAGGACCGGGUUGGACGAACCUCUGGUGUGUCAGUUGUUCCGCCAGGAGCACCGCUGAUUAGCUACGUUCGGGAUGGAUAACCGCUGAAAGCAUCUAAGCGGGAAGCCGGCCUCAAGAUGAGAUUUCCAUACCUUCGGGUGAGAGGCUCCCAGCCAGACUACUGGGUUGAUAGGCCAGAUGUGGAAGUGCAGCAAUGCAUGCAGCUGACUGGUACUAAUAAGCCGAUGACUUGAUAAC
rfam:Microbacterium sp. SA39 RS85_contig000009, whole genome shotgun sequence.